UUUUUUCAGUUUUUGUUCCACUUCCAUGUUGACCAGUGGUCCUAGUAAAAUUCCAGAGAUUAGGAGAAUUAAACCAGUGAAUCCUAAUCCAAUUAUUAAUAGCCGUUGUGAUAAUUUACAAACCAUUUUGAUAAAAUUAGUUCGGGUGAAUGACACAUUUCAGUUUUGAUUUUUGAUAACAUAAAUAUGUCUGCACAACGUGAUCAACCUCGC
rnacentral:lncRNA from 1 species